rnacentral:rRNA from 1 species
CCCUAGUAACUGCGAGUGAAGCGGGAAAAGCUCAAAUUUAAAAUCUGGCAGUCUUUGAUUGUCCGAGUUGUAAUCUAGAGAAGUGUUAUCCGCGUUGGACCGUGUACAAGUCUCCUGGAAUGGAGCAUCAUAGAGGGUGAGAAUCCCGUCUUUGACACGGACUACCAGUGCUUUGUGAUGCGCUCUCAAAGAGUCGAGUUGUUUGGGAAUGCAGCUCAAAAUGGGUGGUAAAUUCCAUCUAAAGCUAAAUAUUGGCGAGAGACCGAUAGCGAACAAGUACCGUGAGGGAAAGAUGAAAAGAACUUUGGAAAGAGAGUUAAACAGUACGUGAAAUUGCUGAAAGGGAAACGCUUGAAGUCAGUCGCGUUGGCUGGAAAUCAACCUUGCUUUUGCUGGGCGUACUUUCUAGUCAAUGGGUCAGCAUCAAUUUUGACCAUUGGAAAAAGUGUAGAGGAAUGUGGCAUCUUCGGAUGUGUUAUAGCCUUUGCUCGCAUACAGUGGUUGGGAUUGAGGAAUUCAGCACGCCGCAAGGCCGGGUUUCGACCACGUUCGUGCUUAGGAUGCUGGCAUAAUGGCUUUAAUCGACCCGUCUUGAAACACGGACCAAGGAGUCUAACAUACCUGCGAGUGUUUGGGUGGAAAACCCAAGCGCGUAAUGAAAGUGAAAGUUGAGAUCCCUGUCGUGGGGAGCAUCGACGCCCGGACCAGACCUUUUGUGACGGAUCUGCGGUAGAGCAUGUAUGUUGGGACCCGAAAGAUGGUGAACUAUGCCUGAAUAGGGUGAAGCCAGAGGAAACUCUGGUGGAGGCUCGUAGCGAUUCUGACGUGCAAAUCGAUCGUCAAAUUUGGGUAUAGGG